GCCUUUAGGAAGUUUUAAAUAUCUUCUGAGAACGAGGAGAAAUAUGGACAUGUUGGCCAAGCUGGCCAUUUUCAUGGUGGAUCUCACACUUGCUUUGGCCACUUUUGGUCUCCUCUAUGCUGUUUCCUUAAUAGCAACCACAGCUAUAUUCAUCCUCAUCCUCUUCUAUUUUUUCAAAGGGAUGGACAAACACUGUGACUUCAGCAAGGGAAGAGUCCGAGCACUAGAUUCAAGCAGUGCUACUGGGAAGGCAUUUGCGAGCAACAUGGGGAGAGUCAGUUCUGGGAUGCUCCCCAUCCAUUUUCCAGCUGCAAGAGAAGAGGCACGAGGAGUGUGUUUUUGUCUGCCAGAGAGUGAGGAGCCCUCUGUGGUGGAGGAAAGGUGCGAGAGGACCUGCCGGAAUGCCGCACCCACCCAACUGACAGGUAUUCUGUUUUACUGCAUUUUGCCUACAAAGCGGCAUUAUCGCUGUGCAUUGAUUGCCCUGGAACAUGGUGCAGAUGUCAACAACUCUACCUAUGAAGGAAAACCAAUAUUUCUUAGAGCUUGUGAAGAAGCACAUGAUGUUAAAGACACGUGCCUGACAUUUUUGGAAAAAGGAGCCAAUCCGAAUGCUAUCAACUCAUCCACAGGUCGAACUGCUUUAAUGGAAGCAUCAAGAGAAGGAGUGACAGAACUAGUUCGAGGGAUAUUGGAAAGAGGAGGUGAAGUGAAUGCCUUUGACAAUGAGAGAAAACAAGCUGCACAUUUUGCUGCCCAAGGAGGCUUUUUUGAUAUAUUGAAGCUUCUUUUUGCUUACAACGGAGACAUGGGGCUGAUUGCAAUGAAUGGGAACACACCACUUCAUUAUGCUGCCAUGGGUGGUUUUGCAGAUUGCUGUAAAUAUAUAGCUCAGCGAGGAUGUGACCUGAAAUGGAAGAACUUGGAUCAUAAAACGCCCAGGACUGUGGCCAAGGAAGGCGGCUUCAAAGCAGCAAGCAAAGAAAUACGGCGGGCAGAGCGAAUCGCCAAUAAACUGGCGAGGCCAGGAGCCAAAAAUCCAAAUCCACUCUGGGCCCUGAGACUUCACGACUGGUCGCUGGAACAUGAGACGUUCCUUCGGGAAGCAUUUUCAUUUGUGGACAGAGGCGACGGGACAGUCAGCAAAGAGGACUUCGUGUUGACGCUGGAGGAGAGGCAAGAAUAUGUGACCUCAGAACAGCUGGCUACCAUAGCUCAGUAUCACGAAAAAGUGCGGGGAGCUGGGGUCAACAUUAAUGAUUUCUUUAAAGGAACCAAGUACUUGAGUAAGUCUUACGUCUUGGGAUCCUAUGGGCCUAAGAAGAAGAAAAAAGGAAUGGCCAAAAAGCCAAAGAAAGGCAAGUUUGUCUUACCUCUCCCAAUCUGCAUCAUUCCUGACCACGUGUUUCCCCACUGGGCCGACGGCGGGCCACCUUAUUACAUGAUUGAAACCUAUAAGAAUGUAACAGACAGCAGUCGGUUUAACCGAGACCGGCCACCGGAACAUCCCAUUCAGGAUGACUCUGCUUGGUACAUUGAUGACCCACCGAAGGUAUUUUCAAAUAUUAAUUUCAUCACCAAGGCAGGAGACCUGGCAUCUCUGAAAAAGGCGUUUGAAUCAGGAAUCCCUGUGGAUAUGAAGGAUAAUUAUUACAAAACGCCACUGAUGACCGCGUGUGCCACUGGAAACAUAGAUGCCGUCAAGUUUCUUCUUGACAAAGGGGCUAACGUUAAUGCAACAGAUAAUUUCCUGUGGACUCCGCUUCAUUUUGCAUGCCACGCAGGCCAGCAAGACAUCGUCGAGCUUCUUGUUCAAGCUGGAGCGACGAUCGAUGCCGUCUCCAUCAACAACUCCACUCCUUUGUCUAGAGCCAUCGAGAGCUGUCGACUGGAUACCGUCAAGUACCUCCUUGAUAUCGGCGCUAAAUUCCAGCUGGAAAAUAGAAAAGGACAUACUGCCAUGGAUGUUGCAAAGGCGUAUGCUGACUAUAGAAUAAUUAGUUUGAUUCAAGAAAAGCUGGAUAAUUUGCCAAAACCAGCAGAAAGUCAAAAACUGAAAGGCAAGCCCCCUCCUAAAGCGAAGACUGAAGGCCCUGAGGUUAAGAAAGAGGAGGAACCACUUUUAUCUGUUUACACCAUACCAACUGUAUCAGAGAAAAAGAAAAUGCAUAAGGAUAAUGUGGUUUAUCUCAAUUCUUUGAUUACCAGUGGUUAUACCAAGAAAGUGGAUAUCACAUUUAUUCCACGGAGGAUCUGGAGUCCUGAAGCCACAACAGCAGAGCUGAUCAGGAAAAGGGAGCUGCGGCGAGAAAGGUUCACUUAUGAGGUAGACUUUGAGGACUUCAUGAUGCCCUUUCAGAAGCACAUCACAGAAAAAGCUAAAGCCUUGGAAGCCGCCCUCAAGAUCUAAAUCACAGCAAUUACUUCUUGGGGUCAACAUUUCAAGGCCCAGGGAUUCUACUACAGAGAAAGGAAUGCUCCCAGAAGAGACUUUUCAGGACAUGAUGGAUGCUGAUAAAUAGGAGGAGGACCUAAGGAAGAGAAAGUUAGAUUCAGCCUGACUCCAGGGGGUAGUUGUACCCUGCA